ACCAACUGAUACGCAUUAUCUACCUGAGCUAGAAUACAAGUAGUUGGUGUCUUCAGAGACACUUGUAUUCUAGCUCAGGUAGAUACUGAAUGGAAAA
ensembl:miRNA